AGCAUCUAUCCGUGAAACUGCGAAUGGCUCAUUAAAUCAGUUAUCGUUUAUUUGAUAGUACCUUACUACUUGGAUACCCGUGGUAAUUCUAGAGCUAAUACAUGCUAAAAACCCCAACUUCGGGAGGGGUGUGUUUAUUAGAUAAAAAACCAACGCCCUUUUGGGCUCCUUGGUGAUUCAUAAUAACCUCUCAGAUCGCAUGGCCUUGCGCCGGCGACGGUUCAUUCAAAUUUCUGCCCUAUCAACUUUCGAUUGUGUGGUAUUGGCACACAAUGGUUUCAACGGGUAACGGGGAAUUAGGGUUCGAUUCCGGAGAAGGGGCCAGAGUAACGGCCACUACAUCCAAGGAAGGCAGCAGGCGCGCAAAUUACCCAAUCCCGACACGGGGAGGUAGUGACAAUAAAUACUGAUACAGGGCUCUUUUGGGUCUUGUAAUUGGAAUGAGUACAAUUUAAACCUCUUAACGAGGAACAAUUGGAGGGCAAGUCUGGUGCCAGCAGCCGCGGUAAUUCCAGCUCCAAUAGCGUAUAUUAAAGUUGUUGCAGUUAAAAAGCUCGUAGUUGAAUCUUUGGCCUGGCUGGCAGGUCCGCCUCACCGCGUGCACUUGUCCGGCCGGGCCUUUUCUUCUGGAGAACCGCAUGCCCUUCACUGGGCGUGUUGGGGACCAGGACUUUUACUUUGAAAAAAUUAGAGUGUUCAAAGCAGGCCUUUGCUCGAAUACGUUAGCAUGGAAUAAUAGAAUAGGACGUGCGGUCCUAUUUUGUUGGUUUCUAGGACCGCCGUAAUGAUUUAUAGGGACAGUCGGGGGCAUCAGUAUUCAAUUGUCAGAGGUGAAAUUCUUGGAUUUAUUGAAGACUAACUACUGCGAAAGCAUUUGCCAAGGAUGUUUUCAUUAAUCAGUGAACGAAAGUUAGGGGAUCGAAGACGAUCAGAUACCGUCGUAGUCUUAACCAUAAACUAUGCCGACUAGGGAUCGGGCGGUGUUAUCGAUUUGACCCGCUCGGCACCUUGCGAGAAAUCAAAGUGUU
rnacentral:rRNA from 1 species